rnacentral:rRNA from 1 species
UUAAGUUAUUAAGGGCGCACGGUGGAUGCCUUGGCACUAGAAGCCGAUGAAGGACGUUACUAACGACGAUAUGCUUUGGGGAGCUGUAAGUAAGCUUUGAUCCAGAGAUUUCCGAAUGGGGAAACCCAGCAUGAGUUAUGUCAUGUUAUCGAUAUGUGAAUACAUAGCAUAUCAGAAGGCACACCCGGAGAACUGAAACAUCUUAGUACCCGGAGGAAGAGAAAGAAAAUUCGAUUCCCUUAGUAGCGGCGAGCGAAACGGGAAGAGCCCAAACCAACAAGCUUGCUUGUUGGGGUUGUAGGACACUCUAUACGGAGUUACAAAGGACGACAUUAGACGAAUCAUCUGGAAAGAUGAAUCAAAGAAGGUAAUAAUCCUGUAGUCGAAAAUGUUGUCUCUCUUGAGUGGAUCCUGAGUACGACGGAGCACGUGAAAUUCCGUCGGAAUCUGGGAGGACCAUCUCCUAAGGCUAAAUACUCUCUAGUGACCGAUAGUGAACCAGUACCGUGAGGGAAAGGUGAAAAGCACCCCGGAAGGGGAGUGAAAUAGAACCUGAAACCGUGUGCUUACAAGUAGUCAGAGCCCGUUAAUGGGUGAUGGCGUGCCUUUUGUAGAAUGAACCGGCGAGUUACGAUUUGAUGCAAGGUUAAGCAGUAAAUGUGGAGCCGUAGCGAAAGCGAGUCUGAAUAGGGCGUUUAGUAUUUGGUCGUAGACCCGAAACCAGGUGAUCUACCCUUGGUCAGGUUGAAGUUCAGGUAACACUGAAUGGAGGACCGAACCGACUUACGUUGAAAAGUGAGCGGAUGAACUGAGGGUAGCGGAGAAAUUCCAAUCGAACCUGGAGAUAGCUGGUUCUCUCCGAAAUAGCUUUAGGGCUAGCCUCAAGUGAUGAUUAUUGGAGGUAGAGCACUGUUUGGACGAGGGGCCCCUCUCGGGUUACCGAAUUCAGACAAACUCCGAAUGCCAAUUAAUUUAACUUGGGAGUCAGAACAUGGGUGAUAAGGUCCGUGUUCGAAAGGGAAACAGCCCAGACCACCAGCUAAGGUCCCAAAAUAUAUGUUAAGUGGAAAAGGAUGUGGCGUUGCCCAGACAACUAGGAUGUUGGCUUAGAAGCAGCCAUCAUUUAAAGAGUGCGUAAUAGCUCACUAGUCGAGUGACACUGCGCCGAAAAUGUACCGGGGCUAAACAUAUUACCGAAGCUGUGGAUUGUCCUUUGGACAAUGGUAGGAGAGCGUUCUAAGGGCGUUGAAGCAUGAUCGUAAGGACAUGUGGAGCGCUUAGAAGUGAGAAUGCCGGUGUGAGUAGCGAAAGACGGGUGAGAAUCCCGUCCACCGAUUGACUAAGGUUUCCAGAGGAAGGCUCGUCCGCUCUGGGUUAGUCGGGUCCUAAGCUGAGGCCGACAGGCGUAGGCGAUGGAUAACAGGUUGAUAUUCCUGUACCACCUAUAAUCGUUUUAAUCGAUGGGGGGACGCAGUAGGAUAGGCGAAGCGUGCGAUUGGAUUGCACGUCUAAGCAGUAAGGCUGAGUAUUAGGCAAAUCCGGUACUCAUUAAGGCUGAGCUGUGAUGGGGAGAAGACAUUGUGUCUUCGAGUCGUUGAUUUCACACUGCCGAGAAAAGCCUCUAGAUAGAAAAUAGGUGCCCGUACCGCAAACCGACACAGGUAGUCAAGAUGAGAAUUCUAAGGUGAGCGAGCGAACUCUCGUUAAGGAACUCGGCAAAAUGACCCCGUAACUUCGGGAGAAGGGGUGCUCUUUAGGGUUAACGCCCAGAAGAGCCGCAGUGAAUAGGCCCAAGCGACUGUUUAUCAAAAACACAGGUCUCUGCUAAACCGUAAGGUGAUGUAUAGGGGCUGACGCCUGCCCGGUGCUGGAAGGUUAAGAGGAGUGGUUAGCUUCUGCGAAGCUACGAAUCGAAGCCCCAGUAAACGGCGGCCGUAACUAUAACGGUCCUAAGGUAGCGAAAUUCCUUGUCGGGUAAGUUCCGACCCGCACGAAAGGCGUAACGAUUUGGGCACUGUCUCAACGAGAGACUCGGUGAAAUCAUAGUACCUGUGAAGAUGCAGGUUACCCGCGACAGGACGGAAAGACCCCGUGGAGCUUUACUGUAGCCUGAUAUUGAAAUUCGGCACAGCUUGUACAGGAUAGGUAGGAGCCUUUGAAACGUGAGCGCUAGCUUACGUGGAGGCGCUGGUGGGAUACUACCCUAGCUGUGUUGGCUUUCUAACCCGCACCACUUAUCGUGGUGGGAGACAGUGUCAGGCGGGCAGUUUGACUGGGGCGGUCGCCUCCUAAAAGGUAACGGAGGCGCUCAAAGGUUCCCUCAGAAUGGUUGGAAAUCAUUCAUAGAGUGUAAAGGCAUAAGGGAGCUUGACUGCGAGACCUACAAGUCGAGCAGGGUCGAAAGACGGACUUAGUGAUCCGGUGGUUCCGCAUGGAAGGGCCAUCGCUCAACGGAUAAAAGCUACCCCGGGGAUAACAGGCUUAUCUCCCCCAAGAGUUCACAUCGACGGGGAGGUUUGGCACCUCGAUGUCGGCUCAUCGCAUCCUGGGGCUGUAGUCGGUCCCAAGGGUUGGGCUGUUCGCCCAUUAAAGCGGUACGCGAGCUGGGUUCAGAACGUCGUGAGACAGUUCGGUCCCUAUCCGUCGUGGGCGUAGGAAAUUUGAGAGGAGCUGUCCUUAGUACGAGAGGACCGGGAUGGACAUACCUCUGGUGUACCAGUUGUCGUGCCAACGGCAUAGCUGGGUAGCUAUGUGUGG